rnacentral:rRNA from 1 species
CCACAGGGAUUGCCCUAGUAACGGCGAGUGAAGCGGCAACAGCUCAAAUUUGAAAUCUGGCUCUUUUAGAGUCCGAGUUGUAAUUUGCAGAGGGCGCUUUGGCUUUGGCAGCGGUCCAAGUUCCUUGGAACAGGACGUCACAGAGGGUGAGAAUCCCGUACGUGGUCGCUGGCUAUUGCCGUGUAAAGCCCCUUCGACGAGUCGAGUUGUUUGGGAAUGCAGCUCUAAAUGGGAGGUACAUUUCUUCUAAAGCUAAAUAUUGGCCAGAGACCGAUAGCGCACAAGUAGAGUGAUCGAAAGAUGAAAAGCACUUUGGAAAGAGAGUCAAACAGCACGUGAAAUUGUUGAAAGGGAAGCGCUUGCAGCCAGACUUGCUUGCAGUUGCUCAUCCGGGCUUUUGCCCGGUGCACUCUUCUGCAGGCAGGCCAGCAUCAGUUUGGGCGGUAGGAUAAAGGUCUCUGUCACGUACCUCUCUUCGGGGAGGCCUUAUAGGGGAGACGACAUACUACCAGCCUGGACUGAGGUCCGCGCAUCUGCUAGGAUGCUGGCGUAAUGGCUGUAAGCGGCCUUGAAA